GUCCGUCUAGUGUCUUCUACUGUCGGAAAUCAGAGCAUCAGCUAGCUACAGCAAUGGCGAAGGGGAUAAAAUUGGUACGAUGCCUUCGGCGGCUCACCCCACCCCGCUGCCCCAGGCCGGAGACGCGUACUUCGGCCGGCAUAUCCCGGCGGCGGCGCAGCCGGCAGCUCGUAGCUGGAGGCGGCUGACCCGGAUGCUGCAGGCCCGCGGGUAAUUUCUGUGUGGCGCGUGUUUCGGACCGUCGACCACGACCGCAGCGGUAGCAUCGACGAGCAGGGGCUACAGGACGUGUUCGGGGCCAUCGGCCGCGGCAGCAUCGACGAGUGGGAGCGGCAUGACGAACGGGGGGUGCAGGACGCGUUCCGGGCCGUCAACCGCGACGUGAGUGGCAGCAUCAACAAGCGAGAGCUGUAGGACGAACAGGAGCUUCAGGACGCGUCACAGAUGGACUUGCAAUGGCAAUAUUAUAUACAUUGUGUUCUUCGGAUGGCUUGAUAUAUGCUGAGAUGGAUCUUUCAUAUUCAUUCUGAAAAUCUUCAAAUAUGCACGAUGCUUGAAAAAACGAAGAAUGUCAAGAUCAGAUUUCAGAUGGUUUUUCAAGUCACUGUUCAAGCUCUCGCUUAAUUGUGUGCUUCUCAUCCCUAGAGUUGAAAGCUUCUUCAAAGGCUUCCUCAUCCUCAUACUUGUACAUGCAAGCACUGAAUUCAGCAAGAACAUUUGGGCUGUCCUCAUCCUUUUUCUUUUGAGGAGGAGUCCAAAUAGGAGAUUAUUUGCAUCUUUUGCAGAACAGCAUACACCUUGGAUGAGCGGCAGAAGAAUGAGAGGGGGAUGCUAGGAGAUCGAGUCCAAAAGGGAGAUCAUGGGCGUAUACCUUUGGGCGAGCGGGAGAAGCAGGCGAAGCAAUUGAGGUCGAACAGAUCGCUCUUUGGCGUUCUAAAAACUCUGAUCUGUGUGUCUUGUUUGGCGCCAAUUCUUUAGGCUUAGGAGAUUUUCCCUCCACGGGAGUAUUAAGAGCGAGUUUGUUUCCAAAUUACCAGCGCAGUUUGAGGGGAGGAAAGAGAGCCAUCGAGUCAUUUUUUUUUUCAGGAAAACGCUUCGGCAAUCAUACCCGUACGAUUAGAACGAAGGGCUGAUUCUAAUAGCUACAGCACAUGUGCUGUGAUAACUCAACUGUAGAGGAGC